UGGGAAUUUUGGACAAUGGGCGAAAGCCUGAUCCAGCGAUGCCGCGUGUGUGAAGAAGGCCUUCGGGUUGUAAAGCACUUUUGUCCGGAAAGAAAUCCUUGGCUCUAAUACAGUCGGGGGAUGACGGUACCGGAAGAAUAAGCACCGGCUAACUACGUGCCAGCAGCCGCGGUAAUACGUAGGGUGCAAGCGUUAAUCGGAAUUACUGGGCGUAAAGCGUGCGCAGGCGGUUUGCUAAGACCGAUGUGAAAUCCCCGGGCUCAACCUGGGAACUGCAUUGGUGACUGGCAGGCUAGAGUAUGGCAGAGGGGGGUAGAAUUCCACGUGUAGCAGUGAAAUGCGUAGAGAUGUGGAGGAAUACCGAUGGCGAAGGCAGCCCCCUGGGCCAAUACUGACGCUCAUGCACGAAAGCGUGGGGAGCAAACAGGAUUAGAUACCCUGGUAGUCCACGCCCUAAACGAUGUCAACUAGUUGUUGGGGAUUCAUUUCCUUAGUAACGUAGCUAACGCGUGAAGUUGACCGCCUGGGGAGUACGGUCGCAAGAUUAAAACUCAAAUGAAUU
rnacentral:rRNA from 1 species